rnacentral:rRNA from 1 species
GGUGAGGUUAUGGCUUACCAAGGCGACGACGGGUAGCCGGCCUGAGAGGGUGUCUGGCCACACUGGGACUGAGAUACGGCCCAGACUCCUACGGGAGGCAGCAGUGGGGAAUAUUGCACAAUGGGCGCAAGCCUGAUGCAGCGACGCCGCGUGGGGGAUGACGGCCUUCGGGUUGUAAACCUCUUUCAGCUAUGACGAAGCGUAAGUGACGGUAGUAGCAGAAGAAGCACCGGCCAACUACGUGCCAGCAGCCGCGGUAAUACGUAGGGUGCGAGCGUUGUCCGGAAUUACUGGGCGUAAAGAGCUCGUAGGUGGUUUGUCGCGUUGUUCGUGAAAGCCUGAGGCUUAACCUUGGGCGUGCGGGCGAUACGGGCAGACUGGAGUACUGCAGGGGAGGCUGGAAUUCCUGGUGUAGCGGUGGAAUGCGCAGAUAUCAGGAGGAACACCGGUGGCGAAGGCGGGUCUCUGGGCAGUAACUGACGCUGAGGAGCGAAAGCGUGGGGAGCGAACAGGAUUAGAUACCCUGGUAGUCCACGCCGUAAACGGUGGGUACUAGGUGUGGGUUUCCUUCCUUGGGAUCCGUGCCGUAGCUAACGCAUUAAGUACCCCGCCUGG